UACGAAGGGGGCUAGCGUUGCUCGGAAUCACUGGGCGUAAAGCGCACGUAGGCGGCUUUUUAAGUCAGGGGUGAAAUCCUGGAGCUCAACUCCAGAACUGCCUUUGAUACUGAGAAGCUUGAGUCCGGGAGAGGUGAGUGGAACUGCGAGUGUAGAGGUGAAAUUCGUAGAUAUUCGCAAGAACACCAGUGGCGAAGGCGACACACUGGCCCGUUACUGACGCUGAGGCGCGAAAGCGUGGGGAGCAAACAGG
rnacentral:rRNA from 1 species